rnacentral:rRNA from 1 species
UACGGAGGGUGCAAGCGUUAUCCGGAUUCACUGGGGUUAAAGGGUGCGUAGGUGGGCAGGUAAGGCAGUGGGGAAAUCUCCGGGCUUAACCCGGAAACUGCCAUUGAUACUAUCUGUCUUGAAUACCGUGGAGGUGAGCGGAAUAUGUCAUGUAGCGGUGAAAUGCUUAGAUAUGACAUAGAACACCAAUUGCGAAGGCAGCUCACUACACGAAUAUUGACACUGAGGCACGAAAGCGUGGGGAUCAAACAGG